AGUGAACGCUGGCGGUAGGCCUAACACAUGCAAGUCGAACGGCAGCACAGUAAGAGCUUGCUCUUACGGGUGGCGAGUGGCGGACGGGUGAGGAAUACAUCGGAAUCUACUUUUUCGUGGGGGAUAACGUAGGGAAACUUACGCUAAUACCGCAUACGACCUACGGGUGAAAGUAGGGGAUCUUCGGACCUUGCGCGAUUGAAUGAGCCGAUGUCGGAUUAGCUAGUUGGCGGGGUAAAGGCCCACCAAGGCGACGAUCCGUAGCUGGUCUGAGAGGAUGAUCAGCCACACUGGAACUGAGACACGGUCCAGACUCCUACGGGAGGCAGCAGUGGGGAAUAUUGGACAAUGGGCGCAAGCCUGAUCCAGCCGUACCGCGUGGGUGAAGAAGGCCUUCGGGUUGUAAAGCCCUUUUGUUGGGAAAGAAAAGCAGCAGGUUAAUACCCCGCUGUUCUGACGGUACCCAAAGAAUAAGCACCGGCUAACGUCG
rnacentral:rRNA from 1 species